UUGUAAGGGCACCACAAGAACGCGUGGAGCAUGUGGCUUAAUUUGACUCAACGCGGGAAAUCUUACCGGGUCCGGACACACUGAGGAUUGACAGGCAAUAUUAAUACUUUGCUUCGGCAUUGUAUUAUGUUAAAUAUGNUAGUCCUUUCAUGAUUAUGUGAUAGGUGGUGCAUGGCCGUUCUUAGUUCGUGGAGUGAUCUGUCUGCUUAAUUGCGUUUCACUAAGGGCCUAUAAAUUUACGUAUGUUGUAUCGCACUUUGACCCCUUUCUUUAAUUAGAAAGCGCGUGUCUUAGUUUCGCUUUGCUCAUACUAUUAGGUCCUGAAAGCAACGAACGUGACCGCAACCUCUUGUUGCCUUUAUACCAAACAUGUUUAUUCAUUUUUUAAUGUUCAUUCAUGAAAAAAGGCUUUUUAAACUAGAGGGACCGCUGUUACUUUCUUAAACCAGAGGAAGGUGCGGCAAUAACAGGUCUGUGAUGCCCUUAGAUGUUCCGGGCUGCACACGUGCUACAAUGAUUAUUGCAGUGAGCAUCUCAUUUUUACACACCGCAUGCGCGAGUCCAUUUAUUCACCUUCGGGUGUUUUAAAUGUGUACCUCUGCGCGCGGUAAAGCCUGCUUCGAAAGUAAGUGGGUAAUCAAUUAGAAGUAAUGAUUUCCUUUUUUAGCACACAUAUAUACGGCGUCUAUGCCCGGGUUACCUUGUUGUAGCUUUUGUGUGUAUAGAUGUUUUUUCCGUAUGUGCGAUUGUCAAUUCAUGGUGGGGACAGACCAUUGUUAAUUGUUGGUCUCGGUCUUAACUAGGAAUGCCUUGUACGGGUCUUUGGUUCAACAAACCACCCGGAAUACGUCCCUGCCCUUUGUACACACCGCCCGUCGCUCUUACCGAUGGACUUCUCUGUGAGUUUGAGGGACUGGGAACGCAGGAAUUUAUCCCUGCACACCUAUGGAAACUUAAACGAACAGUGUGGUCUAAAGGAAAGA
rnacentral:rRNA from 1 species